GACGGGGGAUGCAAGUGUUAUCCGGAAUCACUGGGCGUAAAGCGUCUGUAGGUGGUUUAAUAAGUCAACUGUUAAAUCUUGAGGCUCAACCUCAAAAUCGCAGUCGAAACUAUUAGACUAGAGUAUAGUAGGGGUAAAGGGAAUUUCCAGUGGAGCGGUGAAAUGCGUAGAGAUUGGAAAGAACACCGAUGGCGAAGGCACUUUACUGGGCUAUUACUAACACUCAGAGACGAAAGCUAGGGUAGCAAAUGGG
rnacentral:rRNA from 1 species